rnacentral:lncRNA from 10 species
CAGAAAAAAAAAAAAGAAAAAAAAAAACAGGCAUGGCUUUGGGAAGAAGACAUGAAUUUGAGAUCUAGCAUGAGGAAGUAUGGAGAGGGAAACUGGUCUAAAAUACUGUUACAUUAUAAAUUCACCACUGGCCAAGUGUCAUGUGAAAAGACAGAUGAAGGACUAUGAAGAAAUUAAAACUGAUUUGCUCAGACAGUGAA